CUUCUUUAUCUAUUCCCUCUCAGGGUACAGUUGCCUGUCUUAGCUUUCUGGUCGCCUUGCCUCCAGUUCCCUGCACGGAUUGAGACUUUCUUUGAAUCACUGCUUUUCUAGGACCCCAUGGGCCUGCCUGGAUCUGUCUACCGUCUAUCUCUCCAUCAGAGGAGCCAAACCCUGCCCGCUGUCAGUCCAGCUGCUGGCUGCCUGGACCUUUUAGAAUCACCCAGGGCUCCUGUCACUUCCUUGGAUCAAGUACAUGUUGGCUCCUUUAUAUCCAGCCCAAGGCUGCACAGGCACUAGAACUUUCUGCUUCACCUGCCAAAUUAGACUCAGGAUACAGUCACAGUGGGCUCAGCUCCUCUCCCUUUCUCUCGGUGGCCCACUGAGGCCUCAGGUUCUUGGGUACAGAGGCAGCAUCAGCUCUCAUCAUCAGUCCAUGUUCUCAUCUUUCCUAUCUCUCAUGAAUGACUCUCCUCCUGGGCCUAGGAGGAUGUGAUGGGCAUUUCUUGCUCGGCUCGCUCGGGGCCAAGCCCUUGCCCUACAGCCCCAACCUUCCAGCAAUCUGACACUGUCCACCUUUUGUCCCCUCUCCUCUCUCCUCCCCCCUGCACGUUCCAGCCAGACCCCUGUGGCCUCACUAGCGCAGUGAGCCAUUUCAAACAAAAAUCCAAUUUUGCCAGCAUCUAAUGUAUUCUAACUAAUCUGCUCACAGGUGCCUUUGGCAAUCCCACUGAGGAAACUUGCUUAAAUAUUUUAAGAAGCGGUUAAUGUGCUAGUUAACUGCCCAACUGAGUGUCAGACCGCUAGAGUUCAAACUCUGGUUCUGUCACUUACUGGCUCUAUUUCCUAAGGCAAGGCACUCAAAUUCUCGGAGGACUUGCUUCCCCAUACAUGAAAUAAGGAUAAUAGCGUUACAUGCUCCCAAGGCUUUUGGGAGAAGAAAACGAGUCAAUAUAUUAAAAAAAAAAAUGUUACAAAGAAAAUCUAGUACAUAAAUAGUUUAUACAGUAGGUGUAAUAAAAUACAUAUUAAUCAUCCCAAGGAACUUUUUAGUUUGCUCAUUCAUCUAAGCAAGACCUACUGUGUGCCAGACCACGAGAAGCAGUUAAAAAAAGAUUGAGAUAUGUUCUGGGGUUCGUCACAAAGGAAGCAGGCCCAGACACAUACCAUUCCAAGGAAGGAGAUUGGGGGUGUGUAAAUGAAGUGAAUAGGGUGUGCUGGUUGGGUUUUGUCAACACGACACACUUAGACAUAUCUGGGAAGAGGGACUAUUAAUUGAGUAGGCAAGUCUCUGGGGCAUUUUCUUGAUUGAUGAUUGAUGUGGAGGGCCCAGCCCACUGUGGACUAUGCCAUCCCUGGACAGGUGGUCAUGGGUGGUAUAAGAAAACAGGCUGGGUGAGCCAAAGAGAGCAAGCCAGUAAGCAGCAUUCCUGCAUGGUCUCUGCUUCAGUUCCUGCCUCCAGGGUCCUGUUCUGAAUUCCCUCCAGGGAGGACUGUAAGCACUGCAGUAAAAUAACUCUUUUCCUUUCUAAGCUGUUUUUGGACUUGGUGUUUUAUCACAGCAAUAGAAGUCCAACUGGUACCCAGGGGGAGGAGAGUCUGGGAUGGAGCAGCCCACCUCGGAGAUCGCUCACAUGGAGACUACCUGUGACAUUGACAGGUGUCAGGCAUACCCGGUCCUGAAGGCAGUCCUGAAGGAAGCGUCCCCUUGGACUUGGAGAGUCAGCCAGAAAGGGAAGUGUCUCUCCGCUGUGGGCUUAGGACACAUCUUCUCUCAGGGUUCCCAGAACCCAUGACCACAGCACGGUGCCUCAAACAACAGGACAUCUUGACUGUCAGGGUUCAGUGGGGACGGAAUGUUGGUCACCCAAGUUGGACUGUGUGGAUGAGAGCCUUGAGGCAGUGGACACGUGAGUCUUUGUCGUCUGGAACGAGGCUCCUCCCUUCCACAAGACUUUCUUCAAGAUUUUUGUCCCUGUCCCUGUUCUCCGUUCUCUAGCCCUUUGGCUGUCACUCAACUUUGUGGAAGCUUCGGCCUAAAGAGUAAUUUCUCUCUCAGACUUUCAUGGAAAAGCUCUAACUACUUCCUGCCUCUCCAUGUGGCUCAUGUCCGAUUGUCUCUCAGCAUUUACUUUUCCCUGGUCAUUUCCUCAUUGCCUUCUUCAGCCAGUCCACUUCUGUCACCCCCAUGUAACACCCCCUUCCCCCCCAAGUCCUUGAACGAAGUAGAUUUGUCUUCAGCUGUUUCCUAAGAGAAGUUUGGGGAAUUAAUUCUAUCAUGGGGCUGAUUCAGCCACCCAAUAAAGCAGUCACAUUUUGCCUGUGGAAAAAUGACCAUAUCGGCUCACACAGAAAGUUUUUGGAUGCUGGACCACCCACGGAAGCUCGACAGACAGAAAGCAAUGUCUCAACAAGAACUUUCAAACACUCAAGGACUUCAUUAUCAUGAGAUGUCCCUACUCGACAACAGACAGCUGAUAGGGAACCGUAAAAGCCUGAGAUGCCUCUGUUGUUAGCAAAUGAAGCCUGAAGCUCAGGAUAGACCACCCUUUCUAGAAGUUUCCCCGAGUGGAAAAAGGAAGGAGAAAAAAAUGGCGAUUUAGAAAGUUGGAAAGAGGGCUUUCUGUGUCUGUGGAAACUUGAGCCUGUGGCAAUCUAGAAGCAGGGACCAUGGGUAGGGAGAUCUUGGAGAUAGGUGCAUGGGGAGUACUUGAGAGAAUAAGAUUCUUCAGCAUGGGGGACAGGACUGAGACACAUGCCCUACAGGUCAGCCAGGAAGGGGGGAAGGGAAGCUGCAGGUCUAAUAAAUCCUAUUUGUGCAGGACGCACUGUCCCACGGUGAUAGUUAAUCUUAGUUGCCAAAUUGAUGGGAUCUGGAAUUAACAAAGAGACAUGUUUCUGGGUAGGUCUGUGAGGGCGCUUCUAGACAGGAUUAACUGAGGGCAGAAGACCACACAUCCCCCCCAACCCCCUGCCCCACUCCAGAAGGUUCUGCCCUGGGUACAAAGAGGUCUAGAGGGAAAGUAGAACUGUGCUGUCCUGCCUGCCUUUGCUCCUCACUGCUGAGUGCAUCGCCUCUGUGGCUGCCGCCACCGCCACGAUCCUUUGUGCUCAUCGGAGCUGAGCUUCCAACAUGAACCCAAGACUAGGGAUCCUCCAUGCCUUCAGCACCAGUUUGGGACGCCUGUGGCAUUUGAUUGCACAGACUCUCAGUCUCUCCAGCAUGCACACAGCCACUGCUGGACUCUCCAGACUGUAACAUAUAAACCAGCCUAGUAAAUCCCCUCUGUACUAUAUUUUCAUUUGAUCUGUUCUGUUCCUCUAGAGAACCCUAAUAUGUGCACUGUGCUGCCACAGACACCAUGUCUAGAACUUCACACGGUGUCCCUUCACACCUUGGAUAGCACUGCCACGCCCUCAUUUUCCAGAGGAAAGCUCUGAAGGUUAAGAAGGUUGCAUGACGUCCUCAAGGUCCCCGAGCUAAAACAGGGCCCAGCUGGGACUCCAGAACUCCUGUUCCCACUAGUUAUGUUCACUUUGAUGUUGUGCUUCCUUUGUCAAAAGGAUAAGUCUUGCUUACAUCAGCGCAUGUCCAUGCUUGGCGCUAUAUGUGUGUUAACUUAUUUAUUCCCCUGCAGGUCCACAAGGAGCAAGAUCAUCCUGCCACCCCCCUUUUGUACAUGGCAGAUCUUACCUCAGGUCACUGCAUUAGUUACUUUAAUGUUGCUGUGAUAAAAUAUUCUGACAAAAAGCAAAUUAGCGAAGGAAGGGGUUAUUUGGACCUACAGUUCCAGAGAAGGUAACAGUCCAUCAUAGCAGAGAAGGCAUGGCAGGGGGCCCAGAGGUCAACCUAGCAGUAGGAAGCCGAGUGAUUUCAUCUACAGACAAGAAGCAGAAAGAGAACAGGAAGUGGGGCCAGGCUAUGCCCGCCCCCAGUGAUGUAUUUCCUUCAGUGAGACUCCACCUCCUUAAAGUUCCAGAACUUUCCCGAACAGCGCCACCAACUGGGGAUGAAGUGUUCACACACUUUGAGAUAAUAAGGGGACGUUUCUUAUUCAAACUUGCAGUCACACAAUAAGAAAGAGAAUUCACUGUGGAUGUUGGGGUGACCUUGGUAUCCCACCUCAACUCUACACUCUUUUUUCUCUCCAUCUCCGGUGACAUAUUUCAUCGGCUUUGGUGGCAUCACAAAUUGCCGUCCUUUUGGUCCGUACUUGACCCAGCUGUGCUGUGACUGCAUAUUCUUCGCACUGGUCAUUGAAGUUGGCACUCAGAGCCUUCAGCAUCCAGUAGCCACAGGAGAUCAUAAUAAGCAGUACAGCCAACCCUUUGCCGACUGUGUGGUGAUCACAGGAAAAAUGCUUGGGCAGAACCGAGGAUUAAGCAUUGCGAUGCUAAGAGUGCCAGGCAGCUGCCUGCAGCCUCCUGCAACGUGAAAACAUGAUGAGUUGACUUCAUUAGGGCCUUGUGGUCUUCCCCCCACUGACAGCUUGAAAAGAGCGCUCUCAUCGGAACAGAACAGGGUACCAGAAGCCACCGGAGCACAGACAUCACAGAAGGAACUUCUCAGGAGGAAAUGCUGAAUAUGGAAAUGAGGAUGGGGGCAGGUUCCAUUCUCUACUCUGGGGUCCUGAGCAUGCACAGUAGUUGAGAUGAACUUAGCUAUGUCCAGUUCACACCAAGGCAGUGUCCUGCCACAAGGUCCCUCCUCAGCUUUCUAAAACCCAACCUGGUAGCUUAUUUUGAUUUGAUUCAGUCGGGUUUUCAGUAUCUAUUGAACUUCUGUAAGGCACAAUAGUGUCCACAAGCAUGCAUGUGGCCCUCUUGAGACCUUUCUUGAAGGUGAUAUUGGUCUCCUUUUUAUACAAGCAGAGGCUGGCAGGGUGGAUAGGUAAGUCAUUCAAGGUGACCCAGAGCUGAGACCACAUCUGGAAAACAGGCCUGCCUGAUCUGUGAGUCCACUGGUCUAUGAGAUACAGGCUCGGAAGCUAGGAGCUUCAGUUUCAAGAUCCAAAGGCAGGGCUGGAGAGAUGGUAAGAGUGGGUAAGAAUGCAUGCUGUGCAAUCAUGAGGACCUGAGUUCAGAUCCCAGCAUCCACACAGAAAAAUGCCAGGCACUAACUUCACACACCUGUAACCCCAGCAUUGUGAAGGUAGAAACUAGAGACACUGUCAGCCUGUUCCAGGUUCAGUGACAGACCCUGCCUCAAGGGAAUAAGAUGGAGAGUGACAGAGUGGGAUGCCUGAAAUCCACCUCUGGCCUCUCUGAGCAUACAGGCUCAUGAACCCAUACAUGAAUGCAUGCUUGCACACACACACACACACACACACACACACACACACACACACACACACACUGAUAGCCACACAGCACAUUAAAAAACACAAAAUCUUGGGCCUGCUGAUCUUUCAUUCAACAAUGAAAAAAAAAAAACCACCCAGCUUCUACAAAGAUUUUUUUAAAAUAA